UACGUAGGGGGCAAGCGUUGUCCGGAAUUAUUGGGCGUAAAGCGCACGUAGGUGGUCUGUUAUGUCAGAUGUGAAAGCCCUCGGCUUAACUGAGGAAGUGCACCUGAAACUGGCAGGCUUGAGUACGAAAGAGGGUCGCGGAAUUCCCGGUGUAGAGGUGAAAUUCGUAGAUAUCGGGAGGAACACCGGUGGCGAAGGCGGCGGACUGGGUCGAUACUGACACUGAGGUGCGAAAGCGUGGGGAGCAAACAGG
rnacentral:rRNA from 1 species